rnacentral:lncRNA from 1 species
CAAAUUCAACUUCGGUUGGAAUAUUAUUUUUCCCAAAAAUACUGUAAUUAGAGGUGUCACACUAAUACAAAGUUGUAAUAUUAACUAAGCUAUACACGAAAAAUAUCAAUUGUAUACAAGCUCUGAAUCAUGAGCUAAGUAAAACAGAAGAAAAAUAAAUUACUUUAUCAGUGUAGCCAGCCUUAGCAAUAAUUGUCAUCAAGAGUUCAUUCCUACAUGAGUUUACAAUGAAAAAAAACA